GUCCUUUUGUUUUAUAUUUAAGGUUUAACCUGCCCACUGAAUAAUUUAAAUGGCCGCAGUAUUUUAACUGUGCAAAGGUAGCAUAAUCAUUAGUUUUUUAAUUAAAAGCUUGUAUGAAAGGUUGGACGAGGUAAAAACUGUCUUUAUUUAAUUAAUUAUAAAAUUUAAUUUUUAAGUUAAAAAGCUUAAAUUUUUUUAAAAGACGAGAAGACCCUAUAGAUCUUUAUAUUUAUUAUUAUAUUUUUAAUUAAGAUUUAUUUAAAUUUUAUUUUAUUAAAUAUUUUAUUGGGGUAAUAAGAAGAUUAAAAAAAUUCUUUUAUAUGUUAUUCAUUGAUUAAUGUUUUAAUGAUCCAAUUUUAUUGAUUAUAAGAUUAAGUUACCUUAGGGAUAACAGCGUAAUUUUUUUAGAGAGUUCAUAUCGAUAAUAAAGUUUGCGACCUCGAUGUUGGAUUAAAGAUUAAUUUAGGUGUAGAUGUUUAAAUUUUUGGUCUGUUCGACCAUUAAAUCUUUACAUGAUCUGAGUUCAGACCGGUUUAAGCCAGGUCGGUUUCUAUCUUUAAUAAAAUAAUAUAUUUUAGUACGAAAGGACCAAAUAUAUAAUAUAUAAAUAUUUAUUAAUUUUUGAAUAUUAUUAAUUACUUUGGCAGAUUAGUGCAAUGAAUUUAGAAUUCAUAUAUGUAAAUUUUUACAAGUAAUACUUGUUUUAUAUAGAUAUAAUAUUUUCUUUUAUUUGUAUAUUAUUAUUAAUUAUUUGUGUAUUA
rnacentral:rRNA from 1 species